GGGCGAUUAGCUCAGYUGGUUAGAGCGCAUGCUUGACGUGCAUGAGGUCAGAGGUUCGACUCCUCUAUCGCCCACUA
rnacentral:tRNA from 1 species